CUGUCUGCGUCCUGCAAGACGGAGGCGUAACUUGUAGGAGGCGUAACUUGUACUAGGAGGCGUAACUUGUUAUUUUCUAAAUCGCGGACCACGCGAGAUCUUUCUCUUUUCGUGGUAAACAAAAAGCGUUGUAAAUCACGGUUCACACGAGAUCUUCAUUGAAGUCGGGUCUUCCGAUAUUCAUGAGUCAUGACGGACGCAGACAGACCCAACUCCGCCCGCCAGCCUCCCGUCCACACGGGGCACUGCUUCUGCUACAGAAAUCCAGAAGAUUUACACUAUGUGCACUAGAAGCCCCGCCCGAACCAACCGCCCUGCACCGGCUGGGGGGCCGGAGGGGCGUGGCCCUGGGCGUCGGGGGCGGAGCCCUGGGCGUCGGGGGGCUGGUCCUCCUGGCCAGCAGGGGGUGCUAUGAGGCAGCGGGUGUGACUGAGCUCCUCCUCCGGCCUGAGGGGCGUGGCCUGGUGGAAGAUGGGGUCCUCCGCCCUACAGCAACACAGGGUAGCGCCGUUUACAUCGAUAUCUCCGUAGGCUUCGAGCUCUUUUCCCCCCAUACUAUUGACGUCAUGACCUUCUGGGUCCAUUCUUAUAUGAAAUCCUAAUAAAUAAUUAGAUGUCAAUAUUCCCAAAUAAUAAACCAUAAUUAAGGACUGGGAUUCAAACAGGAAGGUGGUUCUUCUUCUGUGGUUCUCACUUGUUGUACGGAGGAAUCUGAAGGUCCAGCUCCUCCAUCAGCAGCUCCAUCACCUCAUCACACCUCCCGUUGAUCUUCAGUGUCGCCAAAUCAUCUUUUGGAGUCCACUACAAACAGAGAGGCCAUGGUUCAGUCAGAGCUUCCUGUUCCAGGAUCGGACAUUCCUCAGAUCGGGUAUCGGCGAGUACGCAAGUAUAUGUGCCGGUACAAUCACAUGACUCCUUUGCUACACAGAGAACAUGAAACACUACAGUGUUAUACUUCUUUCGUUAACGGUCGGAGGUGGAAAUCUCUUGAUUAAUAAUUAUAAAUGUAAAUGAUCUGUCAACGUAAGAGAACCCUUCAAUGAACAAGUGCUGUUAGCAGCUACGAUGCUAAAGGCUGUGUCGGUGAGAACUCGAUAUCAGCCCAUACUCAAGUUCAGGCAUCAGGAAGCAAAAAAUGGUAUCGGAACAGGCCUACUUGGAGGUUAACGAUGAAGAGGAGGGGCCUACGAUGAAGAGGAGGGGCCUACCUGGAGGUUAACGAUGAAGAGCAGGGGCCGCCUCUUGGCCGGUCGGUUCAUGCUCCACAGACAAGCGUACUUCUUUAAAACCUGUCGGGACGAAGAGCAGAAUGUAAGCAUCCUAACGCGUCAUCAUGAUGAGGUUUGGUUUGUCUCCCUCUGUCUUGGCUCCGCGGUGGGGGAACGAGCUCCCUGCAGACGUCAGGACCACAGAGUCGCUCACCUGGACUCUGCCUCCCCCCAUAACUCCCACACCCCUCUCACUAAGGCUGGCCCGAAUUAUUCGAAUAUUCUAAUACUCGUUCGGAAAAUUAGUAUUCGAAGCUUAAAUCGGUAUUCGGAGCUUCGUUUUUGUUUUUUUUCACGUACGUGACGUUACCAGAGCGAGGGAGGCAAACUAUAAGCGUCAGCGACACCAAGCAGAGAAGCGAGAGAGGUGGAGGAAAGAAUAGAUAUCUCGUUUCCCUUUACUUUAUAACACAACAUUAGUGGGAUCUCUGGAGGAAAAGUAAUACUUAAAACCUUAGCUUAGUUGUUUGUUUACGUUCGCUGUACAGCGCCGCGCCAAUCAACUGUGACUGGCUUGCUGCAGAGCGUGAGCGUCUUGGGAAUACCCGGUCAAUAUAAUGGAUAUAAUAUGGACACAUAUCAAUCAAUAUUCGGUAUUUGUUAUGGAUUUAUUGUACAAAUUCCCUGAAAAGAUCCACGUUCCAGGAUGAAUUGAAAAGCUCUCGUAAGGGGUGAGAUGGCAGAGAACAGCUGAUUUGGAACGGAGCAACAGCUGUUCGCUUUCACGGGGAAAAACUAAGGAACCCAACCUACUUAGGCCUACUAAUUAACGUUCAAAAGCUAUUAAAUCUUCAACAAAAUAUGCAGAUACUGUCAAAAUCGGUUCCAGGGAGUAUAUAGGGAUUAUUAAUGUUGUUUUUGAUGGUGUUUUUUUCUGGAACGAGUAUUCGAAUAUUCGCUCGGAAAAACCAACGAGUAUUCGAAGCCUAAAAAAUGGCAUUCGGGCCAGCCCUACCUCUCACACACACUGUAUGUCGUCCUUAGUUAAAGUACUCAGUUGUAGUUAGUAGUUAGGGGCCCUGGGUUAGGGUCAGGGCCUCACCUCGAGGCUGGGGCCCUGGGUUAGGGUCAGGGCCUCACCUCGAGGCUGGGGCCCUGGGUUAGGGUCAACCUCAGGGCCUCACCUCGAGGCUGGGGCCCUGGGUCAGGGCCUCAC